rnacentral:tRNA from 1 species
UAGAAUUUAGGUUAUAUAAAACUAGUUGUUUUCAAAACAACAGAAACAUGUGUUAAGUGUAUUUCUAG